rnacentral:rRNA from 1 species
GUCCCCAGUCAUACCACCUAGAGCUCACCCAGUCUCUUGGAAGUUCGGUGGGGUCAGGCAUGGCUAGUACUUGAUUGGGAGACUGCCAGGGACGAUCAGGUGCUGUAGGCU